rnacentral:lncRNA from 1 species
AAGCUUUUGUUAAGGGUAGAAAUUUAUGAAGAAAAAUUAUUCUUAAUCUCAUAAGUGCUUUGAUGCAUGGUUAUUCACGUAUGCAUCCUUAAUACUUUUCAAAUACUCGAUAUUUAAUCCUUGUGCUUUAACAUAUUAUUUUUUAGCAAAAAUAUGGAGAAAACACUAUUUCAAUUUGAUAUUUAUGAUCUUAAGUAGAAUAAAAUUGAUUUUUCUAAAAUCUUUUGAUGUAUUUUAGGAAUAGGAGAAAUGAAUUUUCAUGUAAAACUUUUGUCAGUUUGAAUUAAAUCUCUCAAAGUUUAAGUGUAGAAAUUGCAAGAAAAU